UGGGGAAUAUUGCACAAUGGGCGCAAGCCUGAUGCAGCCAUGCCGCGUGUAUGAAGAAGGCCUUCGGGUUGUAAAGUACUUUCAGAGGGGAGGAAGGGAGUAAAGUUAAUACCUUUGCUCAUUGACGUUACCCGCAGAAGAAGCACCGGCUAACUCCGUGCCAGCAGCCGCGGUAAUACGGAGGGUGCAAGCGUUAAUCGGAAUUACUGGGCGUAAAGCGCACGCAGGCGGUUUGUUAAGUCAGAUGUGAGAUCCCCGGGCUCAACCUGGGAGCUGCAUCUGAUACUGACACGCUUUAGUCUCGUAGACGGGGGUAGACUUCCGGGUGUAGCGGUGAAAUGCCUAGCGAUCUGGCGGAAUACCGGUUGCAAAGACGGCCCCCUGGACAAAGACUGACGCUCCGGUGCGAAAGCGUGAGGAGCACACAGG
rnacentral:rRNA from 1 species